CAUGAGAAGAGGAUGACUGCAUCAAAGCUCCCAAACAAAAGUUUCACUUUGAGUCAAGUUCUGGAUAUGUUGGAUCUAGGUGACUGCCCAGACAAGGCAUGCAACAUUGCAGUUAUCCCUCAAAAUGAGAAAGAUGCUGUCCUGAGUGAUUGUGAUAGCGAUGGGUCAGAUAUGGACUAUGGACAGGCCAUUUGCCAGCCAGGCUGUUGAAUGCAUAUGCUGAACAUAUGCAAACAGAUCAUGACAGGAACAACGUUAUCAGUGAUGAUGACCUACCCCUCACCGCCCCCCCCCCAUCCACAACCUCCCCCACCCCCUCCAUUGUUGAUAAUGAAGAGCCAAUGGUCUCUACAAGCCAUAGGGGUCAGCCAGAAGAGCCAAUGGUCUCUACAAGCCAUAGGGGUCAACCAGAAGAGCCAAUGGUCUCUACAAGCCAUAGGGGUCAGUCAGAAGAGCCAAGGGCCUCUACAAGCCAUAGGGGUCAGCCAGAAGAGCCAAUGGUCUCUACAAGCCAUAGGGGUCAGCCAGAAGAGCCAAUGGCCUCUACAAGCCAUAGGGGUCAGCCAGAAGAGCCAAGGGAAAUGCUGCAGGUGGUCAAAAAUAAAGAUUGAGUGUUCAAACGAUCGAAGAGGCCUGCCACUGAUGUGAUUCCAAAACACAUAGUAUACAGCCCAAAUAUGCAAAAGUUUGGCACGAAACCACUGAGCCACGGAAGGAGAUCUUUACUGGCUGCUAAUGUUGAAGAUCAGGCAAGAUAUGACAAAACUUCUCACUGGCCAAUCAAGACGAUGCACCGGCUCCAGAGAAGUCGUCAUUGUGACAAACGUACUACCUAUGKAUGUGAGAAAUGCAAAGCGCCACUGCACAUUGACUGCUUCAAGAUAUACCAUGGACAGUAGAAAAGGAGAUAAGAUCGAAUGAAAAAGGGCUGAAAAAGACAA